rnacentral:snoRNA from 1 species
AUGGAGGUGAUGAAUAUUUCCCCAGAUGAUCGAAGCUGAAAUUACUGAGCGCUAUUAAUGUAUUUUCUCCAUUGUGGGAAAAUCCAAGCCAGAUAUUCUGAUCCAU